GAUGAAGAACGUAGCGAAAUGCGAUAAGUAAUGUGAAUUGCAGAAUUCAGUGAAUCAUCGAAUCUUUGAACGCACAUUGCGCCCGCCAGUAUUCUGGCGGGCAUGCCUGUCUGAGCGUCAUUUCAACCCUCAUGCCCCUAGGGCGUGGUGUUGGGGAUCGGCCAAAGCCCGCGAGGGACGGCCGGCCCCUAAAUCUAGUGGCGGACCCGUCGUGGCCUCCUCUGCGAAGUAGUGAUAUUCCGCAUCGGAGAGCGAUGAGCCCCUGCCGUUAAACCCCCAACUUUCCAAGGUUGACCUCAGAUCAGGUAGGAAUACCCGCUGAACUUAAGCAUAUCAAUAAGCGGAGG
rnacentral:misc_RNA from 1 species